rnacentral:rRNA from 1 species
UACGGAGGAGGCAAGCGUUAUCCGGAAUCAUUGGGCGUAAAGCGUCCGCAGGUGGCUAAUCAAGUCCGCGGUUAAAGACCGGAGCUCAACUCCGGAAAAGCCGUAGAAACUGAAAAGCUAGAGGUCGGUAGGGGUAGCGGGAAUUCCCAGUGUAGCGGUGAAAUGCGUAGAGAUUGGGAAGAACAUCGGUGGCGAAAGCGCGCUACUGGGCCGAAACUGACACUGAGGGACGAAAGCUAGGGGAGCGAAAGGG